GAUCCGUUCACCUGUCAGGGAAGUAGUGUCCUGUGUAAGGUGAAAGGAUCUUUAUCUAUGGUGGAGGUUGCUACAGAUGGCUCUGUAUAUGGGGUGAACAACGAAGGUCAAAUCUUCCGCAGAGAUGGCAUUUCCAUCCAGAGGCCUCAAGGAACCAGCUGGACCCACAUUGACGUGUGCCUACCAGCUAGACACGUCAGCUACGACCUGGGCCGACUGUGGGUGGUCACCAAGACUGGGGUUGCUCUGGAGUGUCUCAUGUAGUCACCCGACAUGUUCACAGCAGUCUCUAUAUUUUCCAGGAGCUUCAGUACAAUCAGCAAACAUUGUUUGGAUUGACAGAAAAUAGAAAUGUGUCUUCUGUGUGCAGAAUCCUUUUUUCGUUGUUCCUUUUUUCUUUGCACAAAAUUCUCAAUACAGACUGUUCAUUACAUUA